rnacentral:rRNA from 1 species
GGGAGGUAGUGACAAUAAAUAACAAUACGGGGUUCUUUCGGAUUUCGUAAUUGGAAUGAGUACAAUUUAAAUCUCUUAACGAGGAACAAUUGGAGGGCAAGUCUGGUGCCAGCAGCCGCGGUAAUUCCAGCUCCAAUAGCGUAUAUUAAAGUUGCUGCAGUUAAAAAGCUCGUAGUUGAAUUUCGGGAUCAAUACGUCGGUCGUGCUUUCGGGUACGUACUGGCGUCAUUGGUUUCUCCUUUCUGACGAACCAUGAUGUCAUUAAUUUGGUGUAAUGGGGAGUUAGGACUGUUACUUCGAAAAAUUAGAGUGUUUAAAGCAGGCUCACGCUUGAAUACAUUAGCAUGGAAUAAUGAAAUAGGACGUUUGAUUCUAUUUUGUUGGUUUCUAGGAUUGACGUAAUGAUUAAUAGGGAUAGUUGGG